CUUUAAUUCACGAAUCUCAGAAAAAUGCUUCUACCACCACCAUCUGCAUCGCUCCCACCACCAUCAUCAUCUCAAUCGCCGCCACCAUAACCAGCGCCACCACCUCCGCCACUACUAUCAACAGAUCUGUUGCAUUUUAUACGUUUGAUUUCAACUUGUUCUUCAUCUUCUUAGGUUAAAAUUGAUUUCGAAAUCAGAUUCAGAGAUCAGAUUUGUUUUCUUGGUUUUCGAUUUCAUAGUAUCUAGUUGAAGAUUCAAACUAACGAUCACGUUUUCAAUUUAAGAUCUACGAAAUUUACGAUACGGUUUGAAAUCACUUUCUGAAGAUAUAUUGAUGGGAGGAUUAAUACCAAUCGACACGAAGAUUUAAUCAAAAGGAGUUAAUGAGAAAAGAGAUUAGCAGAAACCGUCCUGGUGGUGUUUCUUUCAUGUUUGUGGUGGUAGUUGGUCUCCACUCCUUCAUUCCGACUAAUUGGUUACCUUUCUCCAUUGUUGGUCGUGCUCAGAAAUGGACUCUUAUCGUUACAUCAAUAAGAUGAUAAGUACUGAUGAACUGUGCAGUACAAGUUGUCUAAAGACUAUGGAGCCUGUUCGGAAACACUAUUUUGCUUCGAGUCUAACUAAGCUUCUUUGAUGCUUCGAGUCUAUACAUAAAGAUCAAUGUGAAUAUUGUUAAACGUCCCCUUUCGCACCAUGUGGUUCCAAAUAAUUGUUGGUUCAAUGUAUUUUGAGUCUAAGACUUUGUAUCUGUAAAUAUCAUUUUAAGUGAUAAAUACUAUUUUUCUCUCUUAAUAUGUGUGUUAA